AUUGAACGCUGGCGGCAGGCCUAACACAUGCAAGUCGAGCGAGCGGCGGACGGGUGAGUAAUGUCUGGGAAACUGCCUGAUGGAGGGGGAUAACUACUGGAAACGGUAGCUAAUACCGCAUACCAUCAGAUGUGCCCAGAUGGGAUUAGCGGGUAGGUGGGGUAACGGCUCACCUAGGCGACGAUCCCUAGCUGGUCGGAGAGGAUGACCAGCCACCAUGGAACGCAGACACGGUCCAGACUCUGACGGGAGGCAUCAGGGGGGAAUAGUGCACAAGGGGCGCAAGCCUGAUGCAGCCAUGCCGCGUGUAUGAAGAAGGCCUUCGGGUUGUAAAGUACUUUCAGCGGGGAGGCGUUACCCGCAGAAGAAGCACCGGCUAACUCCGUGCCAGCAGCCGCGGUAAUAC
rnacentral:rRNA from 1 species